GACGAACGCUGGCGGCGUGCCUAAUACAUGCAAGUAGAACGCUGAAGAGAGGAGCUUGCUCUUCUUGGAUGAGUUGCGAACGGGUGAGUAACGCGUAGGUAACCUGCCUUGUAGCGGGGGAUAACUAUUGGAAACGAUAGCUAAUACCGCAUAACAAUGGAUGACACAUGUCAUUUAUUUGAAAGGGGCAAUUGCUCCACUACAAGAUGGACCUGCGUUGUAUUAGCUAGUAGGUGAGGUAAUGGCUCACCUAGGCGACGAUACAUAGCCGACCUGAGAGGGGGAUCGGCCACAAGGGGACUGAGACACGGCCCAGACCCCUACGGGAGGCAGCAGUAGGGAAUCUUCGGAAAUGGGGGAAACCCUGACCGAGCAACGCCGCGUGAGUGAAGAAGGUUUUCGGAUCGUAAAACUCUGUUGUAAGUGAAGAACGGGGGGGGAAGGGAAAAGUUCCCCCUGUGAGGGUAGCUAACCAAAAAGGGGCGGCUAACUACGU
rnacentral:rRNA from 1 species